GAGGGUGUAGCUGAGCGGUAGAGCGCAUGCUUAGCAUGUGCAAGGUCCUGGGUUCAAUCCCCAGUACCUCCG
rnacentral:tRNA from 1 species